ACACACGCACUCAUACGUUUUUUUAUGUCUCAUCUAUGCGCACAGGGAGCCUCGCCAUCGUCUCCUACUUUGGGCGCCGCCACCACUGCAGUCACUUCUGAUGUUGUGUGCGAGCUGUCUCCUGUGCAGUCGGGCCGCCCACAUGAAGCAGCCGUCCGCGUGGAGGAUCGACUACUGCGGUACGGCGCAGUGUACCAGGAGAGGCUUCGGGAGGCGCAGCGGCACAAGCGCACGUCUGAAGCGGCUGCCUUGGAAUCGAUUGUGCGACCGCCGUCACCAGAACUUCAGCGGCGCCUUUUCGUACCCACACCUUCCCUUCACGCGUCUGCCGAGGCCGCCCGACAACACCGAGGUGAGCGCCAAUCCGCCCUUCUCGCGGAGAGGGCAACGGCAUACACGUGCCAGCCAGCAAUCCUGCCCGUCUCGCGUGAGAUGGCAGCGUCGGAGCGGAGGCGGAACGGCUGGAUGCAACUGCCAGUCGGCGAUGUGCUGAUGGAGCGCCACAAGCGCGCGGAGGGGCAUCUCGAGGAAAAGCGCCAGAAGGAGGUGGCAAGGUUUUCCUUCAGGCCUACCAUCUCUGCCCGUGCACGCACCAUGAAGUCCAGCCGACCCGUCGUCGAGCGACUCUACAGUGGUUCCGGGGAUUCGGGCACAGACACCGCAACUUUCGCUGAUGUGACCAAUCUGCGCAGCUCGAGGGGCGAAAAGACCAAAACGGCGUCCAUGGCGACAUACCAACGCCUUUACGAAGAUGCGGUGACGCGACGCGCUCAAGACCAGACGCACGAGAAACUGGCGCGUGUGCGAUCCAGAAACGAGUUCUGCCCCCGCACCGACUCCGUCAGCGGCCUCAUCGCUUCAAAGCGAGGCGACACCACUCACCAGCGACUCCUGCGACCGAGGGCAGCGCUGGAUGUGGCGCGCGAUGUAUGCCCGGAAGAGACGUUUGCACCGCGCAUCAACACAUCGACCCGCUUUGAGCAGGCCCCACUCUCCGCGCGCGCAGCGAUGUGGCAGCGACGCCGCAGCGAGCGGCUGCACCACGCCGUGGUGGCGCGUUGCGAGGCGGAGAUGCGGGAAUGCACUUUCCAUCCUCGCACGCUGCGUGGACUUACUGCGUUGUCGCAGGCCCAUGCACGCGAAACGGCAGACAGCUGCACAAGUCCCCUCGCGAGCAUUGUGAGUUCCGCUGAGGAACUGCUUAGGCGCGUCGACCUCGAGGCGUCUGCGCCGCUACCGGAGAGCGGCCGCUGCGCUCCCUUACUUUAUGGCGACGGCAAACCACCCGGAACCGUUCCCGCCGACAUCCUGGCGGUGCUUGAGGAGGCCGAGCAAGUCUCUGAGGCACUGCGCCUCCUUCCUGACACAAACUUAGACCUAGAUCUAUCACUCCACACCUCUACCGGUUGAAGGGUUUUUACGGAGCCUUCUAUCUCCCCCCUCUCGCAAAUACCUUUCUUCUUUAUGUGCAUGCGUGUGUGCUCGUGAGAACGACCGCUGCUGUCGCCGCUGCUGGUACUACUCGCGCUCAUGUUCCCGCUACGCAUUCGUCCUCUAUGAGGCGCUCGGCGUUCUUUUCGUUCUGCUGGGUUCGUACACGUGUGCACGCGCCCCCCUCCCCCUGUGGUGCGUGUGUGUUUACCGCGCGGGUACACCGAACACCCUCCGCCUCUUCUCUCCGUCGACUUCUUCUGAACGGGCGUGUUUCACACACGAGCUGCAGUUGGCACACGCACCGCGGAAGGUCAGCAGGAUGAACCAACGCUCACGUGUCAUCGUCGCCAUUGCCACCGUUGCUGUGUACUUUCUGAGUGGGUGAGUGAUGGGCUAGCUGCAGCACUGCGCGGGCGGGCAGCUUCUGUUUGUCAUCUCCCCCAUUCUCCCUCCUCCCCCCAUCCGCCGUCUCACGGGCGCUGCGUGUGUCCAUGUCGUGUGGGCGACAGCUCUGCUUCUCUUCUCCACCUCCCAAUAGUUUUCCCUGUGUACGCUUCAUGCCUGCGGCACCCCUCUCCCGUGUACUUCGCUGGUCCUCUCUGUUUCCUGCUGCAUUGUUUCUUCCCUUGCUCGUGAUCUUCUGACCGAACACGCCGUCGCAG
rnacentral:misc_RNA from 1 species